GCCAGACUCCUACGGGAGGCAGCAGUGGGGGAUAUUGCACAAUGGGGGGAACCCUGAUGCAGCGACGCCGCGUGGGUGAAGAAGCGCCUCGGCGCGUAAAGCCCUGUCAGCAGGGAAGAAAAUGACGGUACCUGAAGAAGAAGCCCCGGCUAACUACGUGCCAGCAGCCGCGGUAAUACGUAGGGGGCAAGCGUUAUCCGGAUUCACUGGGUGUAAAGGGAGCGUAGACGGCGACGCAAGUCUGGAGUGAAAGGCCGGGGGCCAACCCCGGGACUGCUCUGGAAACUGCGUCGCUGGAGUACGGGAGGGGCAGGCGGAAUUCCUGGUGUAGCGGUGAAAUGCGUAGAUAUCAGGAGGAACACCGGCGGCGAAGGCGGCCUGCUGGACCGUGACUGACGUUGAGGCUCGAGAGCGUGGGGAGCAAACAGGAUUAGAUACCCCGGUACA
rnacentral:rRNA from 1 species